GAUGAACGCUGGCGGCGUGCCUAAUACAUGCAAGUCGAGCGAACGGACGAGAAGCUUGCUUCUCUGAUGUUAGCGGCGGACGGGUGAGUAACACGUGGAUAACCUACCUAUAAGACUGGGAUAACUUCGGGAAACCGGAGCUAAUACCGGAUAAUAUUUUGAACCGCAUGGUUCAAAAGUGAAAGACGGUCUUGCUGUCACUUAUAGAUGGAUCCGCGCUGCAUUAGCUAGUUGGUAAGGUAACGGCUUACCAAGGCAACGAUGCAUAGCCGACCUGAGAGGGUGAACGGCCACACUGGAGCUGAGACACGGUCCAGACUCCUACGGGAGGCAGCAGUAGGGAAUCUUCCGCAAUGGGCGAAAGCCUGACGGAGCAACGCCGCGUGAGUGAUGAAGGUCUUCGGAUCGUAAAACUCUGUUAUUAGGGAAGAACAUAUGUGUAAGUAACUGUGCACAUCUUGACGGUACCUAAUCAGAAAGCCACGGCUAACUACGUG
rnacentral:rRNA from 1 species